rnacentral:rRNA from 1 species
AUUGAACGCUGGCGGCAUGCCUUACACAUGCAAGUCGAACGGCAGCGGGGGAGAAGCUUGCUUUUCCUGCCGGCGAGUGGCGAACGGGUGAGUAAUACAUCGGAACGUGCCCUGUAGUGGGGGAUAACUAGUCGAAAGAUUAGCUAAUACCGCAUACGACCUGAGGGUGAAAGUGGGGGACCGCAAGGCCUCAUGCUAUGGGAGCGGCCGAUGUCUGAUUAGCUAGUUGGCGGGGUAAAGGCCUACCAAGGCGACGAUCAGUAGCUGGUCUGAGAGGACGAUCAGCCACACUGGGACUGAGACACGGCCCAGACUCCUACGGGAGGCAGCAGUGGGGAAUUUUGGACAAUGGGCGAAAGCCUGAUCCAGCAAUGCCGCGUGUGUGAAGAAGGUCUUCGGGUUGUAAAGCACUUUUGUCCGGAAAGAAAUGGCUCUGGUUAAUACCUGGGGUCGAUGACGGUACCGGAAGAAUAAGGACCGGCUAACUACGUGCCAGCAGCCGCCGUAA